GAUCAUGGCUCAGGAUGAACGCUGGCGGCGUGCAUAACACAUUCAAGUCGAACGGAGUUGCUUUAAUUAAUCCUUCGGGAAGCGUUGAAGCAACUUAGUGGCGGACGGGUGAGUAACGCGUGAGCAACCUGCCUCUGUAUGUGGGAUAACGUCGGGAAACUGACGCUAAUACCGCAUAAUGCAAGAUCUUCGCAUGAAGGUUUUGCCAAAGAUUUAUUGUACAGAGAUGGGCUCGCGUCUGAUUAGGUAGUUGGUGAGGUAACGGCUCACCAAGCCGACGAUCAGUAGCCGGACUGAGAGGUUGAACGGCCACAUUGGAACUGAGAUACGGUCCAGACUCCUACGGGAGGCAGCAGUGGGGAAUAUUGGGCAAUGGGCGAAAGCCUGACCCAGCGACGCCGCGUGAGGGAAGAAGGUCUUCGGAUUGUAAACCUCUGUUGACAGGGACGAAGCAUGACGGUACCUGUCGAGGAAGCCACGGCUAACUACGUG
rnacentral:rRNA from 1 species